UGAAGCAAACAGUACACGCAAAUCGAAUAAACACACACAGCGAGCCAGUCACACAAUUUACACUUUACAGAGAGUUAUUACACACACCAACACACGCAGUAGUGCACACACUAUGGCAGCCGAUGAGGGAACGAUGUCGUAUCCCCCAAUCGAACCCUCAACUUUCGACCUAAUCAUCGUCGGCACCGGCCUUCACGAAUCAAUCAUCGCCGCCUCCGCCUCCGCCGCCGGAAAAUCCGUCCUCCACCUCGACCCCAACGCCUUCUACGGCAGCCAUUUCGCCUCUCUAUCCCUCCCCGACCUCACCGCCUUCCUCACCUCCCCCUCUCCCUCCCCUCCCUCUCUCUCCCACUCCUCUCUCCCAAAUCUCUCCCAAGUCCCUCUCCAAACUCGAAACCUGUACUCCGUUAUCGAGAUAUCGAAAACCGAAACAAUUGAAGAGGCUAAGAGGUUUUGUGUUGACUUGGCCGGACCUAGGGUUUUGUUUUGUGCUGACCUGGCGGUUGACUUGUUGUUGAAGUCGAGUGCGAAUCAGUAUAUGGAGUUUAAGAAUGUGGAAGAGUGUUUAGUUUGGGAAGGGAGCAAGGGGUUGAGGAAUGUGCCGGAUUCACGAAGCGCGAUUUUUAAGGAUAAGGGGCUGGAUUGGAGGGAGAAGAAUCAGUUGAUGAAGUUUUUUAAGCUGGUGCAGAAGCAUCUCGAUGUGGAGGAGAGUGGUGAGAGGAUUUCCGAGGAGGAUCUGGAGAGUCCCUUUGCCGAAUUUUUGAGUAAAAUGUCGUUGCCGCCUAAUAUUAAAUCGAUAAUUCUAUAUGCAAUAGCUAUGGCAGAUUGUGAUCAAGAUCUCGCGGAAAUAAAGACAGGGAUUCUCAAAACAAAAGAAGGAAUUAAACGUUUAGCACUUUAUAACUCAUCAAUUGGCAGAUUCCCCAAUGCAUUUGGGGCUUUAAUCUAUCCUAUUUAUGGCCAAGGAGAAUUGCCACAAGCGUUCUGUCGUCGUGCUGCAGUUAAAGGUUGUAUCUAUGUUCUGCGAAUGCCUGUGAUUGCUCUGCUUAUGGAUGAGGGAAAUAAAAGUUACAGAGGCGUUAAGCUGUCUUCUGGGCAAGAGCUGUUCAGCGAAAAGCUAAUAUUGGAUCCAUCAUUUAUAGUUCCGCCAGGGAUUGCAAAUUCCUCUGUAGAUACUCAUGAAGAUAGCUCUCAUAUUUGUGGCUCGGGGAAUAUUAAUCAAAAGGUCGCUAGAGGAAUCUGCAUUGCAAAAACUCCGUUGAAGCCAGAUGUAUCCAGUUGUCUGGUGUUUUUCCCUCCUAGAUCUCUGUAUCCGGAGCAGGCGUCAACCCUGCGAGUUCUUCAGCUUGCUAGCAAUAUCGCUGUUUGUCCUUCUGGCAUGUUUGUGUUUCACAUUUCAGCUGUUUGUGGGGAUGCCAUUGAAGGGAAAAAGUUACUCAAUGCAGCUGUAAAUGCCCUUUUUCCAGUUCCUAGUAUAAUCCCUAUAAAUAGUUUUCAGGAGGAAAAUGGAAAUAUGGAAGAACUUCAACCCACAUUACUCUGGCAUGCUUUUUAUAUACAGGAACUGUGUACGGGUUCAGUUGGAUCUAUCAGUUCUAUGCCUAUGCCAGAUAUGAAUCUUAACUACAACGAUGCCAUUGAAGCUUCUGCAAAGAUUUUCCAGAUGAUGUAUCCUAAUGAAGAAUUCUUCCCCGAGACGGUCACAUCUGAUAUUCCCGAGGACAACGAUGAUAUUGCUACAGAUACAGAAUCGCGGUAGUCGGGACACCGAUGCUGCCAGUAUAUUUUUUGUCAUUUAAGAGGUUGAAGAGAUGCUUAUAAAGAGAGAGUAGUGAAGAAAUCCAGGGUGCUUGUCCUGGAAGUGUAUCUCAAUGAUGACGAUAAGAAAGAAAGUGAUGUACGAAUAUAUACCUUUCUUUGUUUUCUCUCCAAGGGGAAGUAAUUAGUGUUAAAGUUAAAUUACACACUUAGACAACUUGAUUGAUAGAUUGCAUUCUAGGUGACAUGAUUGAUUAAUAUAUAGAUACAACAAUGAGGCUUUUUCAAUUUAACAUUACGUGAAUCUACUAUUUGUAUAAAUUCUGAAUACUUGUGAGAAUAUUUCCUGUUUGAAGUUGUGUCCCUUGCUCAAAACUCCUGACCAAUUUCAAUAUAUACAAUUUUUCAUACAUAUGGUAUGUCAUGCAUUUGUUAACCAUUUAUUACCCAUUUUUAUGUUAUAACCUUGAUUAGGUUAAUUUGUUAGACUGUUUUGCUAUAUAUUCCAUUGGCUUCAUGAAGUAGUUAGAGCUUGCUUAUUCCUCAUAGAUCAGUCAUCAUAUCAGAAGCUAAUUUAUACACUCCACAGAAUCUAGCGAUGAUCUCUGUAUACAUGUCUAUAAAUGUAUACCCAGAGAUGAAUUUACCUGGACUCACUAUAGGUAAAUUUAUGUGGGUCAAAUGUGAUCGGGAAUAGUUACAAGGAACGCGUAAUGUGGCCUUGUAUGGCAACGCUGUUCAUUUGUCCCUGAUCCUGGAACAAACGCGAGCGGAAACGUUGGGGGUGGCGAUUGGAAACAUUUAUUAAUAAAAUUAUUUAUUGAUUUAUUUUGAAGAUAUAUUUAAAGGGUUAAUUAUCAAACUCAUCACUGAAGUCGACAAAAGAUAUCAACUUCAUCACUGAUCUCCACGGGGUCUCAAGUGGCUCACUAAAGUGGUUUACUGGUAUUAAAAUCAUCACUGCCGUUAAUAAAUGUGUACUGUAUACUGUAACUGAAAAUAUAUAAUAUAUAAUUACAUUUUUUUUCAAUAAAAGACCUAUUGUCCCCAAAUGUUCUGUCGUACCCAAUUCACUAAAACUAAUGUUCCGCGUAUCCGGUUUCGUCCCCUGUUUUGAAUCGACCCUCGUCCUAUGUAACAUCAAUCGGGUCUCGAUCUAGCUGCCUAGUGAUUUAUAUUCUGUAUCUGCAUGUAAAUACCUUAUCGUGGUCUGGUUAGCUAGUACUCUAUAGUAGUAAAUAAAUUACUUUACCCUCUCAUUGGUUCCUGUUGAUGUCAACCUUCUCUUUAGGUAAACUUGUGUUACUCUCACUUACAACAUUGAAAACGUAGUUACGAGCUUAUGUGAAUCGGUUCUGUUAAACUGUCUGCGUCUGGGAUGGAAGCACUUUUUGAUAAUUCUUUGACUUAUGAUCGAUAUCAGUUGAUGAUACCCCUCUUACUGGGGAGAGAUAAGUUUUUCCCUUCUCCAGGCAGAGGAAUUUUGGCCUCUAAACAAUCUAGUCUAGUCACCACAAGUCUUGCCAGUAUAGUUGUAUACUUGUAUCUGAGAUGGUUUCACGUAUUUUAUUUGGGUUGGAUUUAGUAAUUGGUGGAUGAUACCUCAACUUUGUUUUGAGGAAAGGAUUAUACAAGAUUGGACGCAGAACUGGUUGGGAUUGUAACAAUCCUGCUUCACUCUCUGCAAUAUGAAAUAUGAGACAUGGUUCUUGGUUCCUUUUAUUUAUUUGGACCUAUAUCGUGCUAUACAGAUGGGGAAAAUCAAUGCAGCAUUACCGGAUAUAGAUAAUGGCAUUAGAUUGGGUGAUCUACUCGAUUAGGUGUAUUGCUAUAAAUAGGAUUUUUCACAAUGCAAGAAGUCUGCACUUUAUCUCUCUUAAUGCAGAUCCUGCACAGUCCCUAGCCUUAGACCAGAGAGAUGCAUUUAUUUUCUGGCAGUGUCUGCCUAAGUAAAUCUUUGAGGGGGCAGAUUGUUUAAGUGCAUCGACUUGACAGGACCCGGAUAGAGAUACAAAAAAUUAGCUCAAGAAGUUGAUGGUGGAUUGGUCAAAGGAGAGAUUAGCUGAUAAAGCCGGUCUCUGAUAGGCUCUUUGGACUACAGUCCCCAUCUGGAAGAUAUAUUCUUCGACUAAAGAAUGAGACAAAGAUUUUUGGCACAAAUUCCCUUCAAAGGAUGCUUAUGAUGGAUGGUCUGUUUUGAAAUCUAGACUCGCACCAAGUAAUUUUUAAGUGGUAAUCGCAGCAAGCUGAGAGUAAUUGGAGGCCAGAUAUACCUCUGUAAUUGUCAGGUUGUCAGUGGCAUUCCUUAAAAGUUUGUUGUAUUUAUAUAUCAUACUUUCAUUUUGGAGAUUUUGUUAUUGUCUUCUAUGUCUAGUUAUUCAUUCCCUAUCUACAUCACAUUUUGAUACAACGGAUAAACCUGAAUAUAUGCAUAUGCCAUUAUGCCUUA